rnacentral:rRNA from 1 species
CCUCGGAGAGUUUGAUCCUGGCUCAGGACGAACGCUGGCGGCGUGCCUAAUACAUGCAAGUCGAGCGAACAGAAGGGAGCUUGCUCCCGGAUGUUAGCGGCGGACGGGUGAGUAACACGUGGGUAACCUGCCUGUAAGACUGGGAUAACUCCGGGAAACCGGAGCUAAUACCGGAUAGUUCCUUGAACCGCAUGGUUCAAGGAUGAAAGACGGUUUCGGCUGUCACUUACAGAUGGACCCGCGGCGCAUUAGCUAGUUGGUGGGGUAAUGGCUCACCAAGGCGACGAUGCGUAGCCGACCUGAGAGGGUGAUCGGCCACACUGGGACUGAGACACGGCCCAGACUCCUACGGGAGGCAGCAGUAGGGAAUCUUCCGCAAUGGACGAAAGUCUGACGGAGCAACGCCGCGUGAGUGAUGAAGGUUUUCGGAUCGUAAAGCUCUGUUGUUAGGGAAGAACAAGUGCGAGAGUAACUGCUCGCACCUUGACGGUACCUAACCAGAAAGCCACGGCUAACUACGUGCCAGCAGCCGCGGUAAUACGUAGGUGGCAAGCGUUGUCCGGAAUUAUUGGGCGUAAAGGGCUCGCAGGCGGUUUCUUAAGUCUGAUGUGAAAGCCCCCGGCUCAACCGGGGAGGGUCAUUGGAAACUGGGAAACUUGAGUGCAGAAGAGGAGAGUGGAAUUCCACGUGUAGCGGUGAAAUGCGUAGAGAUGUGGAGGAACACCAGUGGCGAAGGCGACUCUCUGGUCUGUAACUGACGCUGAGGAGCGAAAGCGUGGGGAGCGAACAGGAUUAGAUACCCUGGUAGUCCACGCCGUAAACGAUGAGUGCUAAGUGUUAGGGGGUUUCCGCCCCUUAGUGCUGCAGCUAACGCAUUAAGCACUCCGCCUGGGGAGUACGGUCGCAAGACUGAAACUCAAAGGAAUUGACGGGGGCCCGCACAAGCGGUGGAGCAUGUGGUUUAAUUCGAAGCAACGCGAAGAACCUUACCAGGUCUUGACAUCCUCUGACAACCCUAGAGAUAGGGCUUUCCCUUCGGGGACAGAGUGACAGGUGGUGCAUGGUUGUCGUCAGCUCGUGUCGUGAGAUGUUGGGUUAAGUCCCGCAACGAGCGCAACCCUUGAUCUUAGUU